GACGAACGCUGGCGGCGUGCCUAAUACAUGCAAGUAGAACGCUGAAGCUUGGUGCUUGCACCGAGCGGAUGAGUUGCGAACGGGUGAGUAACGCGUAGGUAACCUGCCUGGUAGCGGGGGAUAACUAUUGGAAACGAUAGCUAAUACCGCAUAAGAGUAGAUGUUGCAUGACAUUUGCUUAAAAGGUGCAAUUGCAUCACUACCAGAUGGACCUGCGUUGUAUUAGCUAGUUGGUGAGGUAACGGCUCACCAAGGCAACGAUACAUAGCCGACCUGAGAGGGUGAUCGGCCACACUGGGACUGAGGCACGGCCCAGACUCCUACGGGAGGCAGCAGUAGGGAAUCUUCGGCAAUGGACGGAAGUCUGACCGAGCAACGCCGCGUGAGUGAAGAAGGUUUUCGGAUCGUAAAGCUCUGUUGUAAGAGAAGAACGAGUGUGAGAGUGGAAAGUUCACACUGUGACGGUAUCUUACCAGAAAGGGACGGCUAACUACGUG
rnacentral:rRNA from 1 species